AAACGACUCUCGGCAACGGAUAUCUCGGCUCUCGCAUCGAUGAAGAACGUAGCGAAAUGCGAUACUUGGUGUGAAUUGCAGGAUCCCGUGAACCAUCGAGUCUUUGAACGCAAGUUGCGCCCGAAGCCAUUCGGCCGAGGGCACGCCUGCCUGGGCRUCAC
rnacentral:rRNA from 1 species